GGCCAAAUCCUUAAACCACUGAGAAAGGCUGGAGAUUGAACCUGCAUCCUCAUGGACAAUAUGUUGGGUUCUUAACCCUCUGAGCCACAACAGGAACUCUUCUAUUUUGUUCUUGGUUUUGUUUCUUAGAUUCCAAUAUAAGUGAACCAAUACAGUCGGGGUUUUUGUUUUUUUGUUGUUUUGGAUCUGACUCCAAAGGCAUGAAAAACAAACAGAAAAAAACAAAUAGAACUACAUCAAACCAAAAAGUUUCUGCACAGCAAGGGUAACCAGCAACAAAAUGAAGACGACCCACAGAAUGGAAGAAGACAUUUGUAAAGCAUAUUAAAAAGGGGUUAAUAUCCAAAAUAUGUAAAACAUACAAUUUAAUAACAAAAAACCAAUCUGAUUAAAAAAUGGGUAAUCUCAGUAGAUAUUUUUUCCAAAGAAGACAUAAAAAUGGCCAACAGGCACGUAAAAGAUGCUCAAUAUCACAAAUCAUCAGGAAAAUGCAAAUCAAAAUCACCGUAAGAUUUUUGGAGUUCCCGUUGUGGUGCAUGGUUAACGAAUCCGACUAGGAACCAUGAGGUUGCGGGUUCGGUCCCUGCCCUUGCUCAGUGGGUUAACGAUCCGGCGUUGCCGUGAGCUGUGGUGUAGGUUGCAGACGCGGCUCGGAUCCCGAGUUGCUGUGGCUCUGGUGUAGGCCUGUGGCUACAGCUCCGAUUCAACGCCUAGCCUGGGAACCUCCAUAUGCCACGAGAGCGGCCCAAAGAAAUAGUAAAAAGACAAAAAACAAAACGAAACAAAACAAAAAAAGUCUGGUUUUAAAGGUGUAAAAGUUUACCCAGUUUUCAUGCAUCUAGAUAAAUGGCACCAUAGGAGAAUAUCUGUAAAUUCAGUAUCAAGCCAUUUCGGGGGAAAAAGUCUAUUUGUGUAUUUCAGGCUUUAUGGCAAUUUAACUUGAGAACUUGGAUAUUUGAGAAAUAAAAUACAUCUAGUCUUAUAUUUCUAAUAAAUGUUAACCAUUUUAACAGGUUUUCCAGUAGCUUGAUAAAGAAUUUGCUGCGAUUUUUAAAGAGUUACAACUAGAUUUUGUAUUUAAAGUACAAAAUAAACACACACUAUAUUAAUUCAUUAUGCCUGUAGGUUUGUAGAAUAACAAUGACACUACCUAUAUAUCACAAGAAUUAAAAUCACUUUUGCAUGGUAGAUAAAUUUCAAAAAAAUGGGUUUUUUUUAAUUACAUUUUAUGAGCGAUUUGCAAAUAACAUGGUAAUAUAUCAGAUUUCUACUAAAGCUCUUUGAUUUCUUAGCCACUGCCUUAAGACUAGAAAAUGUUUAUAACCAGAAAUCUAGAUUAGUCAUGCAGUUUAGAUAAUCUAGAUAUUGCAUAGAGAAAACCAAAUAAAAUUCCAUACUCAAAGCCACAAAUUGUUAACACACCAAAUAAAGAAUAACUUUUAGUGAAUCUUUGACAGAAGUUCUACCUGUACAUAGAUACCAUGGAAGAAAGGAAGAAAUUGUUUAAGAAUAAAGCGUAGAGACACAGCAGCCCCACCCCCAACUAUCCGCAGAAAUUCCUUCCAAGCUGAUAGGCGAUGCCCAAAACUGAAAACGCGAAUUUACCCAACCCUCCAUAUACUAUGUUUUUUACGGUACAGACAUACCUGUGAGAAAUAUUAACUUAUAAAUUAGGCAAAGUAAGAAAAUGACAACAAUAAUUAAUCACCGAAUAGAACAAUUAGAACAGUACGCUGUAACAAAAGUUAUGUGAAUGUGGCCUCUCAAACUCUCUUAUUAAACGUUAAUGCCCUUUCCAUCUUCACUUACCACUUACUGCGCUCUGUAGCUGCAAAUUCUUCAGUUUGAGGUGCAACAGAAAAAUCAGCACAAAUUUUUGCCGUUCGUCACAAUUUCACAGAUUCAGCCUCACGGUAGAUCUUAGCAACCUCAGUGAAAGUUUUGUCCUCUCCUCGUUAAGCUAAGAGCUUUCACCUUUCACUUAAAAGAAGCAUUUCUUGGCUUCUCUUGGCGAGUUCAAAUUGCCGGGAUCCCUACUUUCUGGCUUUUGGGGCCAUAAAACAAAGUUUCCCUGCACAAAAGCGCUGAAGCGGCUACAGGUGACUAACAGUUGGGAUACUCAGAGUGAUUCACGUCCUGGUCAGGACCACGCGAGAUUUGAUCACUAUUCUGAACGGCAAUUUAAAACUCAUGCAUUGUUUAUUUCUGGAAUUUUCCACUUGAUGUUUUCAGAUCCUUGUUGAUCAUGGGUAAUUGGAAUUGAAGGUAAGGAGGCAUACUGUAAUAAGAUGAUUUAUUAACCAAAUGUUAGCAGCAUUGUGGACUUCUUACUGUGCUAAGCUAUUGCUUCAAGUAUGUCCCAAAUUUACCAGUGAAGUUACUACACUGUGAACCAUAUGUGGCAUAAGGUAGUAAGUGGCUGUGGAAGAGCAGAUCUUGUAAUCUACAUAUAAAAUUUAACAAACCUUUCUUUAAAGGCAAACAAGCAAUUUGACUUCAUAUUUUACAGUUUUAGAACUAAAAUCCCAUUCUAUAAGAUGGCACUUCCUUGAUUUUACUUUACCCAUCUAGAUGAGCAAACUUCCUGCUUUAUAAGAAAACUGUUCUGGGUAACUAGUCCUAUAUACACCAGUGGCCUUAACCUACACUCCUAAGAAUGUAGGUACAUCAGAGUGUAUGGGUGCGUGCAAACAGUAGUGAGGCAUAACUGUUUUCAAAAGAACAAGGCCUGGUUCUUUGCUUCUUUUUUUUUUCUUUCUUUCUUUCUUUUUUUUUUUUUUUAAGAAAUUCGUUUUCUGUGCUAAUCUGCUGCUGGGUUUGUGCAUGAGAGCCUUAUUAGUGUUAGAAAAAGCAGUCCACCUCUGCAUAAUAUAGUUUUCCUUUAAGCAGCAUAACUUUGAGUGCAGUCACAGCCUUUCAAAUGGACAGUUUGUACAUCAGCUUCAUUUGAUAAAAUAGAUCUUAGAGUACUCAGCAGGUACAGCUAUUAAUUAAUCAAGGUUUAUGUUGCCAAGUAA
rnacentral:lncRNA from 1 species